rnacentral:rRNA from 1 species
GAGAGGAUGAUCAGCCACACUGGAACUGAGACACGGUCCAGACUCCUACGGGAGGCAGCAGUGGGGAAUAUUGCACAAUGGGCGCAAGCCUGAUGCAGCCAUGCCGCGUGUAUGAAGAAGGCCUUCGGGUUGUAAAGUACUUUCAGUCGUGAGGAAGGCGGCGUCGUUAAUAGCGGCGUUGUUUGACGUUAGCGACAGAAGAAGCACCGGCUAACUCCGUGCCAGCAGCCGCGGUAAUACGGAGGGUGCGAGCGUUAAUCGGAAUUACUGGGCGUAAAGCGCAUGCAGGUGG